CAAAGGUGGAAGAGAUCCUAAUGGCCUUUACAACACAUAUAUAGUUAAGGCAUUGCCACCUACUUUUUGCCAUCUAACUAUGCAUUUGG
ensembl:snRNA